UGGGGAAUAUUGCACAAUGGGCGCAAGCCUGAUGCAGCCAUGCCGCGUGUAUGAAGAAGGCCUUCGGGUUGUAAAGUACUUUCAGUCGGGAGGAAGGUGGUAAGGUUAAUAACCUUAUCAAUUGACGUUACCGACAGAAGAAGCACCGGCUAACUCCGUGCCAGCAGCCGCGGUAAUACGGAGGGUGCAAGCGUUAAUCGGAAUUACUGGGCGUAAAGCGCACGCAGGCGGUUGAUUGAGUCAGAUGUGAAAUCCCCGGGCUUAACCCGGGAAUUGCAUCUGAUACUGGUCAGCUAGAGUCAUGUAGAGGGGGGUAGAAUUCCAUGUGUAGCGGUGAAAUGCGUAGAGAUGUGGAGGAAUACCGGUGGCGAAGGCGGCCCCCUGGACGAAGACUGACGCUCAGGUGCGAAAGCGUGGGGAGCAAACAGG
rnacentral:rRNA from 1 species